CACGUAGCGGCCAAGAUGGCGCUAGCGGUUGGAGCAGGGGCUCUGCUGCGACCUUUACGGUAGUGAGGUUAGGGACGAUGGGAGAGCAGCUUUGUUCCUGAAGUGCCGUCGAGGAUUAGGAUCGAGUUUCUUCGAUCGUGAGGGCAAUUAUUAGUGGCCUCUAGCCCCCCAGAUGGCAUCUUGAGGAGAGAGAAUCCACGCUACGAGAACUAACAUAGUGGACAUCGCAGUUGUCCGUAGCCGAUUUGCGGGUUACGGAGUUGUUGCAAGUAAAGAAGGGGAAAUCCGAGCGUUCUCGCGUUGGAUUUCCUCCACGUGUGAAGUGGGAAUGGUAGUGAUAUCUCGUGCUAUCUCUGUCAAGGGCAAGAAGGAGAAGGAAUUUAUUUGAGGCCCUACGACGUGGUAGGUUCACCCUCAGCCUUUGUUCUUAUUUCAUCUUAUUUGUGGAGAAGGUCUUUUCGUUCCUAUUUUACAGAACUGCCGGGCACAGUGGCUCACUCCUGUAAUCACAACACUUUGAGAUGCCGAGUCGGGAGGAUCAUGAGGUGAGGAGUUUGAGACCAGCCUGGCCAACGUAGCGAAACCCCGCCUCUACUAAAAAUACAAAAAAACAGCCAGGCGUGGUGGCGGG
rnacentral:lncRNA from 1 species